UACGAGGGGGGCGAGCGUUGUUCGGAAUUAUUAGGCGUAAAGGGUGCGUAGGCGGUUUGGUAAGUCUGAUGUGAAAUCUAUGGGCUCAACUCAUAGUCUGCAUCGGAAACUGCCGGGCUUGAGUGUGGGAGAGGUGAGUGGAAUUCCUGGUGUAGCGGUGAAAUGCGUAGAUAUCAGGAGGAACACCUGUGGCGAAAGCGGCUCACUGGACCAUAACUGACGCUGAUGCACGAAAGCUAGGGGAGCAAACAGG
rnacentral:rRNA from 1 species